GACAGAGGCCACGAACGUUGUUCGGAAUUACUGGGCAUAAAGCGCGCGUAGGCGGCUGGGUCCGUCCGAUGUGAAAGCCCCCGGCUCAACCGGGGAAGUGCAUCGGAUACAGCCCGGCUUGAGGACGGUUGGGGUGAGUGGAACUCCUGGUGGAGCGGUGAAAUGCGUAGAUAUCAGGAGGAACACCGGUGGCGAAAGCGGCUCACUGGACCGUUACUGACGCUGAUGCGCGAAAGCUAGGGGAGCAAACGGG
rnacentral:rRNA from 1 species